GAAUUAAUGGAAGCUGUCAACAGCCUGCCCCUGACCUCACUGGACAUAACCGUGUCCUCGGCAGACCUUCAGUUUGUCAGAACCAGUUGGGAUGCAACAGGAUUUUCAGUUUUGCUGUCUUCCAUGCAUGAAUGGCUGCUGGAAUGACCAAGAUGGUUUUUCCACUCAUUCUUGGGACCUGGACUAUGAUGGCUACAGCAGCUAAAGAUGCCAGGUUCUGCAUACUAUGAAACUACUACAUCAGCAGGUCCAAAGGACUCCACUGACUCAACUGAUCUGAGGGACCCCAUGAAAAGCCUACUCAUCAAAGAAUGCAGUUUCUAAAUCCUGAUGAGUUCAGCCCCCUUGCCCUGACUAAUCAACAAUCCUAAUUCUCCAGUCCCUUGCCCUCCAAGAUCCUCUUAAAAACCUUAGCCCAGAAUUCCUCAGGAAGAUGGAUUUGAGGGUCUCCUUCCAACUCCUCACUCAGCACCCUGCAGUCAUUAAGCUUUCUCUGCUGCA
rnacentral:lncRNA from 1 species